rnacentral:rRNA from 1 species
UGAGGAACAUGACCUUCGGCGGGGGAUAGCCGGCCCAACGGCCGGGUAAUACCGCGUACGACCACAUGGGGACAUCCCUGAGUGGUGAAAGCAGCAAUGCGCCGAUGGAGUGCCUCGCGGCCUAUCAGCUAGUUGGUGAGGUAACGGCUCACCAAGGCAACGACGGGUAGCUGGUCUGAGAGGAUGGCCAGCCACAUUGGGACUGAGACACGGCCCAGACUCUACGGGAG